rnacentral:rRNA from 1 species
GGGGAAUUUUGCACAAUGGGGGAAACCCUGAUGCAGCGACGCCGCGUGAUUUAGAAAGUCUUCGGAUUGUAAAAAUCUUUUGUAUAGGAAGAAAAUGACAGUACUAUACGAAUAAGGUCCGGCUAAAUACGUGCCAGCAGCCGCGGUAAUACGUAUGGACCGAGCGUUGUCCGGAAUCAUUGGGCGUAAAGGGUACGUAGGCGGUCUAGUAAGUUAGAAGUGAAAGGCAUUAGCUCAACUAAUGUAAGCUUUUAAAACUGCUAGACUUGAGAGAUUGAGGGGAAAGUGGAAUUCCUAGUGUAGCGGUGAAAUGCGCAGAUAUUAGGAGGAAUACCAGUGGCGAAGGCGACUUUCUGGCAAUCAUCAGACGCUGAGGUACGAAAGCGUGGGUAGCAAACA